rnacentral:snRNA from 1 species
AUGCUUACCUGACAGGGGAGAUACCAUGACCACGAAGGUGGUUUUCCUAGGGCGAGGCUUAUCCAUUGCACUCCAGAUGUGCUGACCCCUGCGAUUUUCCCAAAUGUGGGAAACUUGGCUGCAUAAUUUGUGGUAGUGGGGGACUGCAUUCGCGCUCUCCCCUG